UACGUAGGGUGCAAGCGUUGUCCGGAAUUAUUGGGCGUAAAGAGCUCGUAGGCGGUUUGUCGCGUCUGCCGUGAAAAUCCGGGGCUCAACCCCGGACUUGCGGUGGGUACGGGCGGACUAGAGUGUGGUAGGGGAGACUGGAAUUCCUGGUGUAGCGGUGAAAUGCGCAGAUAUCAGGAGGAACACCAAUUGCGAAGGCAGCUCGCUGGGACGUUACUGACGCUGAGACGCGAAAGCGUGGGGAGCAAACAGG
rnacentral:rRNA from 1 species